GACGAACCGUGCGAACGUUAUUCGGAAUCAUUGGGCGUAAAGCGCGUGUAGGCGGCUCGAUAAGUCUGCUGUGAAAGUCCAGGGCUCAACCCUGGGAUGCCGGUGGAUACUGUCGAGCUCGAGUCCGGAAGAGGCGAGUGGAAUUCCUGGUGUAGCGGUGAAAUGCGCAGAAUAUUAGGAGGAACACCAAUGGCGAAGGCAGCUCGCUGGGACGUGACUGACGCUGGAGACGCGAAAGCGUGGGGAGCAAACAGG
rnacentral:rRNA from 1 species